UCACUUGAGGCCAGGAGUUUGAGACCAGCCUCACCAACAUGUGAGAACAUUUAACAGUCUACUCGGUGAUUUUCAAGUUUAUGACACAUGUUGUUAACUGUGGUCGUCAUGUUGUACAAUAGACCUGGAACUUACUCCUCCUGUCUCACUGAAAGACUGAAAACAUCCCAGUCCAACAACAACAAAAAGUACAGAUUUUCUGUCUUAAAUUCACUAGACCAUCUUUCAACAGACCUUGACUGUCAGAUUUAGGUUCAUCUGAUAAAUUAGGCCAACAGGAUUUUGUCUUCUGUGAAAGGAAUCUGCCUCGUGGACAGCAUCCCGCAGCCAGGAACAAGGGUGCAGGUGGCUGCUGGGCAGGGGAACAGAGGAGGCACACUAAAAGGCCUUCCCUCCUCACUCAGCACCUUUCCCACCUCCAUCCUGCAACCUGCGUGUUCUGUUCUACUGAGCCCUGUCAGUGUCCUCUCCCACUGAGCCCUGUCAGCGUCCUCUCCCUGUGUCUGAGGCUCAUCCCUCUGGCUGGACACACAUUCUUUGCCAGGACUCAGAGAAUCAAUCCUCAAACACUCAGUUCAGCACCUUGCACAAAGUACAAGCUCAAAAAAUACUUACAGAACAGUUGAAGUACAGAUACUCAUUUCAACAUGUGCACUGCCAGGAUUGACAGUGCCCAGGACUGUUUUGUGAUGGUCUUAAUUUUCUAGCUAAGAAACGUCGUGCACAGAAAAACCUCUCUUCACUGUAAUUCGUGGUGGAUCACAGAAUGCAGAGACAAUCGUGGCCAUGAGAGAGCUUGGGUAGAGGUGACUUUACCAAGGAUUUGCAAGUCCCCUGCCCAGGCUGACUCAGGAGCUCAGAUGUUCUUCCCUGGGAACUACCUGCAUAGCCAUAGGCAGUCCCCAGAUCAGAGCCAAAGCAUUCCUCAUCACAAAAGCAGGAAGUAGUAUUCUGCAACCUGGAAGAAGGCUGAUACGAUCAGGACUGAAAAACUAGGGGAGAGCAGAACUCUCUAGAUCCUCUGCAAACUGCUGGAUCGAAUGAGCUUGGUGUGGAGGUGGGAGAAUGCUAAAAACACAAGUGGCUGCAGCUGGUCUCCACAGAGAUCAUGGAGGAGCUCUGCUGAUGGUUCAGAAGAGAGUCUGGGAAAGGGAUGGGCUGACGGAAUUGCAAACCCUCAAGCCCUAAUGCACCUCUGAUUUUGUGCCAGAGCCCAGGUGGUUACAUCUUGCAGGGUUGGUUUGUUUUGUAUAUUUCUUACACAGAAGAUCAGAUUCUUCCUCCUGCUCAAAUGACAAAGCUGAGCCCCAUUUGUUCUGGUGACAGGAUCCAGAGCAGUGACCAAAGAUAAAGCACUGAGAGUGGAGACAAAGGCUUGUCUCUCCAGGAGACACUGUGAUUUGGGGAAAGUCAAUGAAGCCCACAUACCAAGUGGAAUCUAUUGCCAGGUCAAAGUGACAAUUCUUGCAGAUAGAACCUGGCCACAGAUUCUCUAACGCUUACUCUCUCCAGCAUUCGAUUUGCCUCAUAACGCAGUAGACAGAAACGUGGGAAAGACAGGUGUUAGGCUUGCCAGUCACAUGAGUCCCUUGGGAUAUUAGCAAACAGAAUGCAGAAAGUGGUGUUGGUGGCUCUUCCUUAGGAAAGAGUUAGUGAUUCGGGGCAAAGCAGAACGUUUCUUUUUUCCUGUUUGUUCUAUUUAAUGCAGUCAGCUCAUGAUGAUCCCAACUGAGAGCCAGACUGGAUGAGAAAGCAUGCCGAAUCAGGCGGGAAGGAAAGCGGCUGUGACUGAGUCAUUUAUCACAGGGACGACCCUCUGUCAAGGCUGGCAUCCUGCCUGCCUCUGUCAGGGAAGCCAACAGGGUGCAUAGAAGGGCCAGCUGGGUGUUUGCUUCUGAAAGCUUCGAGUCCUUUCUGGAGACCUCAUGGUGUUCUGUCUGAGCUCUUGUUCCUCUACUUUUCCUUGGAUCUCACAGGGAAACAAAUCAUCAGUGUCUUAUUUCCCGUCUAUUUUAUCCUCUCCCCUUUUGACUUAAACGAACAAGUUCAGUGAAGAGCCUGUCCCCAGCACUCCCCACCAACCUGCACUCACCUUAGAACACUAGCAGCAGCGCUGACCAGCUGCUGCUGGACUCACCAUUACAAAUAAUAAAACAUAAGGCUCUGCUCCCUGACACAGAUUUCCAGGCCUGAAACUUUGUGAACAGAAAGCCGCUGCACACCAGACCAGUGACUUUGGUUUUCCCCUCCCAGUUCCAUAGCUGUGUGUUCCUAAUGGACGCUCUGGGUAGAUAAAUGCCCUGUGAUCAAGAAGAGGCCAAUCCAGGGAUAAGACGAAUGUCUAGUGUGCUGGGAGGAACGUUUAGUCGCUUCUUGGUAGGCUCUCCUUUCACCUGCUGUUCUAUUUUACAGGCCACUUACAUCCUAUUGCAAUCAAUAGACACAUCAGCACGUUCCGCUGCAACCGGGCACAUUGGCAAUCUGGGAGGUGGGCUCCCAGAGGUCCCUGGCAUGGUGCAUUAGGCAGUGGGCCAGCAGGUUCCCAUCCGAGGAAGCUCUCCAUCUCAUUAGUUUCUCCCUGUACAGCAAAACGCACGGCCAUCUAGGUUACAGCAAUCAGGGCAGAAUUGCUUGCAGUUGUGAUGGGAGAGGCACUAGAUUUCAGAGACUUUAGACAAUGCCAUUCUGUGAACUGUGGCGUUUUAAAGCGGGGCGAAUGCAGAGAUGGGAAGUGGGUUUAUCCAGCUCAGAGGUUUUGGUUCUCACUCCUUUGUUCUGAAGGGGAAGCUGAGAAAUUCUUCCAGGUGUCAGCCUUAGAUCAUCAACAAUCCCAGGGAAGCUCUUCUCUUGGCUGAACAGCAAAACAUAACACGUUCCAGGAAUAAGCAGAAAAUGUAUUUUGCUCUGCUUCAAAUCCUAGUAGGGGCUUUAAAAGUCAAAUAGGAUUUGAGAGCCAAGAAAUCUUUUUAUCUGUAAAGUUAACAAACUGGGCCUGAGACUAAGAUGUUGAAAUGCCCAUGGUGUCUGGGCGUAUAUGGAUGGAUAAGGCAUAAAUUGCUUCACAAGACUAUUAUCGAUCUUACCAUUCAUUCAAUCUUCAGUGGAUCAUUCGUUUUCUUAAUUGGAAGAAAGCUGGGGAACCAAAUGGGUAGAUGACAGUCGGGCUUAACGUUCAUGGACACGGUAAUUGAUUUCUACGAAUUCCUCAGCUCAACUCAACACAUUGAGAAUGUACUCAAUUGCAGCCACUGUGCUAGGUUUGUGAUUGGUUCUUGAAAUCUCCUGGAUUAUGACUUGGCAGGAGAGGGGUAAACAGGCACUUAAACACAUGAUUUAAACA